rnacentral:rRNA from 1 species
CUCAGAAACUUAAUGAAUUGACGGGGCCCGCACAAGCGGUGGAGUAUGUGGUUUAAUUCGAUGCAACGCGAAGAACCUUACCUGGUCUUGACAUCCCGGAGACCCUUAGGAAACUAGGGGGUGCUUCCAUCUGGAAGAAUCUGGAGACAGGUGCUGCAUGGCUGUCGUCAGCUCGUGUCGUGAGAUGUUGGGUUAAGUCCCGCAACGAGCGCAACCCUUGCCUUUAGUUGCCAGCAGUUCGGCUGGGCACUCUAAAGGGACUGCCGGUGUUAAACCGGAGGAAGGUGGGGAUGACGUCAAGUCCUCAUGGCCUUUAUGACCAGGGCUACACACGUACUACAAUGGCCGAUACAAAGGGCAGCGACACUGCGAGGUGAAGCCAAUCCCGUAAAAUCGGUCUCAGUCCGGAUUGGAGUCUGCAACUCGACUCCAUGAAGUUGGAAUCGCUAGUAAUCGUGGAUCAGCAUGCCACGGUGAAUACGUUCCCGGGCCUU